rnacentral:misc_RNA from 1 species
AGUUGGGUGUGGUCAAGAAAUAGGCAAGGUUUUCAACUUUUUUGUCGAAGCCUGUGUUUUCUUUGCUUUUAAAGAUGCCUAAACACGAGGCAAUGACUCCUAAAGCUAUCGCUAACAAGAUAAAGUCCAAAGGAUUACAGAAGCUCCGCUGGUACUGUCAAAUGUGCCAAAAGCAGUGUAGAGACGAAAAUGGAUUCAAGUGUCACAUCAUGUCAGAGUCCCAUCAAAGGCAGCUCCUACUAGUAGCGGAUAAUCCUGGUCGCUUUGUGGGGAGUUUUUCUGAAGAGUUUUUGAAAGGGUUUAUGGAUAUAUUGAGACGACAGUAUGGGACUAGACGUGUCCAUUGCAAUGUUGUGUAUCAGGAAUACAUCAGGGACAAGGACCAUUAUCACAUGAAUGCUACCAGGUGGUCUACACUAACUGGUUUUGUGAUGUAUUUGGGUCGUCAGGGUUUAUGUGAAGUGGAACCGACUCCUAAAGGAUGGUACAUCACUUACAUUGACAGGAGUCCUGAGGCACUGGCCAGACAAGCUGCGGAUGCAAAGAAGGUAAAGAUGGAUCGAGACGAUGAAGAGAGAACUCAGAAAAUGAUUGAAGAUCAAAUAGUUAGAGCUACGGCUCUUAAAAAGGUGAACGGCGAUAAUGAGUCUGACGAAGAAGGCGGGAACUAUACCGAACUUAUUAGAAAAGAUGAGAAUGAGAAAAUCACACUGUCGUUAUUUGGUUCCAAGACUAUUCCCCCUCCCCCUCCCUCCCUCCCUCCUCCUCCUCCUCCUCUACCCUAUCCCUCGGCAGUAAAGGAACACCUCCCAAUGGAAAUUAGCAAUGACACUGAUGAACUGCUGGAGGAGGCAAGACCAGCAAAGAUUAUGAAGAUUGAAUCAAAUGAUUUCCAAGAACCGAAACUACCCCCUCCCCCUCCUCCUCCUCCUCCUCCUGUUGCUGUGGUGAAGCCGUCAGUACCUAUGAAUCCUCUGAAGUUAGCGGAAUUAGAAGCAAAAGCUAAGAAGACAGCAAAGGCUGUCAAAAAACCAUCACAAGAAGAAAAGAAGAAGAAGUCGCUGUCGUCCCUGGAUACUGUUUUUAAAUUGGAGGAGGAAAGAAAAGAGAAAAUGAACCGAAAGGAUUACUGGCUACAUGUGGGAAUCAUAGUGAAAGUAUUGAACAAGAGACUUGGAGAGGACAUUUACAAGAAGAAAGGACUCAUUGAAGAGCUUCAUGAUCAAUACACAGCGUCCAUUAGAAUGCUUGACAGCAAAGAGAAAGUAAAAGUUGAUCAGUCCUAUCUGGAGACUGUUAUACCAGCUAUCGUUAUUAUUAAUGUGUGAGAUGAGAUAUUAGAGCUUAGCCACACCCAUUGACACACCUACAGGAAGUAUGGACCGUUAAUGAGUAUGUAUUAUUAAUAAUGAAUUGAUGAAUUGAUUGUUGAUAAUCAGCAGGAAAGGGAGAGCAUACAGUUUAUAAUAUACAGCAGUUAUUAAGUUAUUAAUUAUUCAUUAUUCAGUUUAAUAACUACUCAAUUAUUAGGUAUUAUUAUAGAAAAUCAUUAUUUUGAAAAACAGACUUCUUUUACGAAUAAAGUAGGACUGUUCUAAUAGUGAAUGGAGCCUACCGUGGCUAUAAAGCUAAACUUGAGGAUGUAAACGUUGACAAGUAUUGUGUGUCAGUUACC